UACGUAGGGGGCAAGCGUUGUCCGGAAUCAUUGGGCGUAAAGGAGCGCGUAGGCGGCCCAGUAAGUCCGCUCUGAAAGUCAGGAGGCUCAACCCUCUGAAUGCGGGUGGAUACUGGCUGGCUAGAGUCCGGAAGAGGCGAGUGGAAUUCCGUGGAUGUAGCGGUGAAAUGCGCAGAUAUCAGGAGGAACACCGAUGGCGAAGGCAGCUCGCUGGGACGGUACUGACGC
rnacentral:rRNA from 1 species